CCCUGCCGGGAACCCGACUUAGCCCGGAGACGCUCAAGAGCAAGAAGCCGAGCGGAAAAGUUAGCGCAGGUUGUGGAAAUCAUAUGAGUUCCCUGCUAGUGACAUUGGAGUGCACAGAUGAAUAUCGACAAGGCUCCAGGGAGUUCUGAACAGAGGCCAAGGCAGGCCCUGGAGCUGUAUGCUGCUUACAGGAAAAGAGAAAGAGGGGACCCCAAUAGUCU
rnacentral:lncRNA from 1 species